UGUGUGUUAGUGGAAGCGUCUGGAAAGGCGCGCGAUACAGGGUGACAGCCCCGUACACAAAAAUGCACAUGCUGUGAGCUCGAUGAGUAGGGCGGGACACGUGGUAUCCUGUCUGAAUAUGGGGGGACCAUCCUCCAAGGCUAAAUACUCCUGACUGACCGAUAGUGAACCAGUACCGUGAGGGAAAGGCGAAAAGAACCCCGGCGAGGGGAGUGAAAAAGAACCUGAAACCGUGUACGUACAAGCAGUGGGAGCACGCUUAGGCGUGUGACUGCGUACCUUUUGUAUAAUGGGUCAGCGACUUAUAUUCUGUAGCAAGGUUAACCGAAUAGGGGAGCCGAAGGGAAACCGAGUCUUAACUGGGCGUUAAGUUGCAGGGUAUAGACCCGAAACCCGGUGAUCUAGCCAUGGGCAGGUUGAAGGUUGGGUAACACUAACUGGAGGACCGAACCGACUAAUGUUGAAAAAUUAGCGGAUGACUUGUGGCUGGGGGUGAAAGGCCAAUCAAACCGGGAGAUAGCUGGUUCUCCCCGAAAGCUAUUUAGGUAGCGCCUCGUGAAUUCAUCUCCGGGGGUAGAGCACUGUUUCGGCAAGGGGGUCAUCCCGACUUACCAACCCGAUGCAAACUGCGAAUACCGGAGAAUGUUAUCACGGGAGACACACGGCGGGUGCUAACGUCCGUCGUGAAGAGGGAAACAACCCAGACCGCCAGCUAAGGUCCCAAAGUCAUGGUUAAGUGGGAAACGAUGUGGGAAGGCCCAGACAGCCAGGAUGUUGGCUUAGAAGCAGCCAUCAUUUAAAGAAAGCGUAAUAGCUCACUGGUCGAGUCGGCCUGCGCGGAAGAUGUAACGGGGCUAAACCAUGCACCGAAGCUGCGGCAGCGACGCUGAUGCGUUGUUGGGUAGGGGAGCGUUCUGUAAGCCUGYGAAGGUGUGCUGUGAGGCAUGCUGGAGGUAUCAGAAGUGCGAAUGCUGACAUAAGUAACGAUAAAGCGGGUGAAAAGCCCGCUCGCCGGAAGACCAAGGGUUCCUGUCCAACGUUAAUCGGGGCAGGGUGAGUCGACCCCUAAGGCGAGGCCGAAAGGCGUAGUCGAUGGGAAACAGGUUAAUAUUCCUGUACUUGGUGUUACUGCGAAGGGGGGACGGAGAAGGCUAUGUUGGCCGGGCGACGGUUGUCCCGGUUUAAGCGUGUAGGCUGGUUUUCCAGGCAAAUCCGGAAAAUCAAGGCUGAGGCGUGAUGACGAGGCACUACGGUGCUGAAGCAACAAAUGCCCUGCUUCCAGGAAAAGCCUCUAAGCAUCAGGUAACAUCAAAUCGUACCCCAAACCGACACAGGUGGUCAGGUAGAGAAUACCAAGGCGCUUGAGAGAACUCGGGUGAAGGAACUAGGCAAAAUGGUGCCGUAACUUCGGGAGAAGGCACGCUGAUAUGUAGGUGAAGUCCCUCGCGGAUGGAGCUGAAAUCAGUCGAAGAUACCAGCUGGCUGCAACUGUUUAUUAAAAACACAGCACUGUGCAAACACGAAAGUGGACGUAUACGGUGUGACGCCUGCCCGGUGCCGGAAGGUUAAUUGAUGGGGUUAGCGCAAGCGAAGCUCUUGAUCGAAGCCCCGGUAAACGGCGGCCGUAACUAUAACGGUCCUAAGGUAGCGAAAUUCCUUGUCGGGUAAGUUCCGACCUGCACGAAUGGCGUAAUGAUGGCCAGGCUGUCUCCACCCGAGACUCAGUGAAAUUGAACUCGCUGUGAAGAUGCAGUGUACCCGCGGCAAGACGGAAAGACCCCGUGAACCUUUACUAUAGCUUGACACUGAACAUUGAGCCUUGAUGUGUAGGAUAGGUGGGAGGCUUUGAAGUGUGGACGCCAGUCUGCAUGGAGCCGACCUUGAAAUACCACCCUUUAAUGUUUGAUGUUCUAACGUUGACCCGUAAUCCGGGUUGCGGACAGUGUCUGGUGGGUAGUUUGACUGGGGCGGUCUCCUCCUAAAGAGUAACGGAGGAGCACGAAGGUUGGCUAAUCCUGGUCGGACAUCAGGAGGUUAGUGCAAUGGCAUAAGCCAGCUUGACUGCGAGCGUGACGGCGCGAGCAGGUGCGAAAGCAGGUCAUAGUGAUCCGGUGGUUCUGAAUGGAAGGGCCAUCGCUCAACGGAUAAAAGGUACUCCGGGGAUAACAGGCUGAUACCGCCCAAGAGUUCAUAUCGACGGCGGUGUUUGGCACCUCGAUGUCGGCUCAUCACAUCCUGGGGCUGAAGUAGGUCCCAAGGGUAUGGCUGUUCGCCAUUUAAAGUGGUACGCGAGCUGGGUUUAGAACGUCGUGAGACAGUUCGGUCCCUAUCUGCCGUGGGCGCUGGAGAACUGAGGGGGGCUGCUCCUAGUACGAGAGGACCGGAGUGGACGCAUCACUGGUGUUCGGGUUGUCAUGCCAAUGGCACUGCCCGGUAGCUAAAUGCGGAAGAGAUAAGUGCUGAAAGCAUCUAAGCACGAAACUUGCCCCGAGAUGAGUUCUCCCUGACUCCUGAAGGAACGUUGAAGACGACGACGUUGAUAGGCCGGGUGUGUAAGCGCAGCGAUGCGUUGAGCUAACCGGUACUAAUGAACCGUGAGGCUUAACCUU
rnacentral:rRNA from 1 species